rnacentral:rRNA from 1 species
UACGUAGGGUGCAAGCGUUAAUCGGAAUUACUGGGCGUAAAGCGUACGCAGGCGGCUUUGCAAGACAGGUGUGAAAUCCCCGGGCCUAACCUGGGAACUGCAUUUGUGACUGCAUGGCUAGAGUUUGUCAGAGGGGGGUGGAAUUCCACGUGUAGCAGUGAAAUGCGUAGAUAUGUGGAGGAACACCGAUGGCGAAGGCAGCCCCCUGGGAUGUGACUGACGCUCAUGUACGAAAGCGUGGGGAGCAAAAGGG